rnacentral:rRNA from 1 species
UACGUAGGGGGCUAGCGUUGUCCGGAAUCAUUGGGCGUAAAGCGCGCGUAGGCGGCCCGGUAAGUCCGCUGUGAAAGUCGGGGGCUCAACCCUCGGAUGCCGGUGGAUACUGUCGGGCUCGAGUACGGAAGAGGCGAGUGGAAUUCCUGGUGUAGCGGUGAAAUGCGCAGAUAUCAGGAGGAACACCAAUUGCGAAGGCAGCUCGCUGGGACGUUACUGACGCUGAGACGCGAAAGCGUGGGGAGCAAACAGG